CAUUUUGCAGCUUCUAUUAGGAAUGUGUGAUUCCUGGAGGGGGGGUUUCCGAUCCCCCCACCCGCCCCACCUCUGCCGUGUUCUCUGUGACUGUUGGGGGAGGAUCAUGGAUUAACAGGUCUGCCAAGCUUUUGGGGAGGCAACAUAAAUAGAGCCUUCAGCUCACUUGUCCAGCCCGACUCAGGAAUAUUUUUGAAGUGCUUGGGGAAACAAGAGUGGCAGGGAGUAGAGGAUCGACCUCAAGGGCCCAGAGAACCAUCAGACCCAAACUGGAGGGUCCAUGACCUUGGAGGCUGUUGCAUGGCUGGGUGAUGGGAGAGAGAAAGGGGACUGGGGGUUUCACCCUUUUGGAGUGCAACUUUUCUCCUCAAGGGUGUUCUCUGCACCCUACUCGACUCAUGGUGGGGUGCAGGGCCCAGGUGGGAGGUGGGCAUAUGAGAGCAGGGGUGACUGACUGACAGCAGGAUGCCAAAGCUGAAGAAGGAAGUAUAAAUAUAAAGCAGCCAGUGUAGGACUGGACAGAGGCCAUAUGAAACACACGGUACAUUCCGGCCCCAGCGUAACAAACUGUACCAGGCUUUUGGAGAGCUGGGAGCACUGUGGAGGGGAGGGAAGAGAGCAGAGGUUCCUUCGAGGUUGGCCCUGCCUCCUCCUCCCCCACUUCUCCCACAAGCUCGGGCACCGCAGGGAAAGUCCCGAUGUUCCUUUUGCAACCACAGGAAACCUACUAUCCCUGCUCACACUCUGUACCCAGUGUUCCUCUCAGCAGCUCCAGACUGGGAGGGAGCUGUGCAUGGGGGAGGGAGAGAGCGCUGGCAGGGGGGUGGGGAAUGUAGGCAGCCACAGCAGCCCAGGUAACAGGAGGGAGGUGGCAAGCAUCCCUUGGGACACUAACUCACAGAGUCCCAGCCUGUAAGCCCUGCAAGGAAGGGCCAGAUGGGCAGUGAGGUGUAAGGAAGGAAGUGCCUUGCCCAAGAUCACACAGCCAGUUGUUCACCAGGGUGGGACCAGAGCGCGUCCAGAGCUGGGCAGCACCGGGCAGCUCUCUUGGGUGUACUGUGCAGGCGUGGCAGGCCAGGGAACAGGCAGUGCCCGGGAACCGAGGGUGGGGAGCCCAGAUCCAAGGCUGCCUCUAUGUUCUGGUUAGCUCUGGGCAGGUCUGGCUUGGGCACCAGCCCCUCCACUCCUUCCAAACCUACCCUCCUCCCCCAUCUAAAUAUUAGAGAUAAUGCAUGGAAAGUGGCUAGCAUGGAGGCUGGCUUGUGGUGAUGUCAACUAGAAUGAGUCACCUCCACGCCUCGUCUCUCCUCCUCCACACACACAGCUCAAGGCCUAGAACCUCCUGGGAUCUUUCUCCCGUAUCACCACCUCCUUCCUGAGUCUCUAUAGCUCUUAACGUUUGGUACUCACCACCUGCUGCCUUGGGUUAUUAUUUAACCUCACGAGCUGUGUGUUUGUCUCUUCAACUGGUCUGCAAUCUGCCCAAGGGCAGGAAAUCAUUUCAAUACACCCAACAUUUACUGAACAUCAACUCCAGUGCCAAGCCUGGCCUGUGGGGGAUGAGCUCAAGUGAUGGGGGGAGGCCUCAAAGAGGCUGACUUUGUUUCUGCCUCAAGGACUUUUUAAUCUGGUUAGAACAGGAUUAGUAAACAGAUCACUAGAAUAUGAGACAGGCAACACGCUGUGCCCUGAGAAAGGUACAGACUGAAUGUGCUGGGCAUUGGGAGGGGGAGAGGAAUCAGAUUUGGCAGGCGCUGUUUCAAGCCGGCUUUAGCAGUUGGAGCUUAAGAGAUGGGUAGACUCGGCGGAUGGGCGCCGGUGGCAGGAGAAAUGGCACAGCACACUGUGGAGGUUGGAAGGUGGGAGAUGAAAGGGCUCUCGGAACUGUGUCUUCAACUUUCUAAUGACGUCCUUAGCAGGGCCCAACAGAGCCUUCCAUAUGGUCAGUCAUUGUCCCUGAAGCUGUCUGCAUACCUACAGUGACAGGGACACUCUCAACAAGGCAGCCCACUGCCCUUCUGGACUUCCCUAUAUCCAAGUCCAGUCACCCACGGGACACCUGCCCACACAUGACCUGGAAAUGACUGAACUCGUCCUCAUGUGGCUCACACCAGCUCUUCCCCAUUGCCCACUGUGACUCUCCCAUCCCCCAAACUCACCACGAAGGUUCCACCUUUGGCUCAAAUUCCCACAGCCUCUGCCACACCUUUCUGACCUACGUUUUUCCUUUCUCCUGCCUAGCCUACUGGAAUAAUGUUUCUCAAACGCUGUUUAUUGUGUAUGCUUUCAGCUUCAGACUCCUCAACCAAGCACACUGGGUACACCAGCUGCUCAGCUGUGUGUUCCACAUGAAGGGACCUGGACUCAUUCGUGGUGUGUCCAGAUCACAGAGGCCAGCCCUGGGCCUGGUACCUAGCAGAAGGACAGCAGAUGUUAGUCACGUGACCAACCCACUUGGUUGUGCUUUCUCAUCUUUCUCUCCUGACUCGGUCUCCCCAUUCCCAUCGAACCUGUUGGUUCCUGGUACUUGCUCAGGCCCUUUGGUUUUGAAAAGUCACAAUUUUUAUCUACCAAAUCUUCAGAGAGGGGUGGGAAGGGAGAAGCUGACAUCCAAGUUAACGUCAAGGAGUCUGUGCCAAAUGCCAACUGCAGAGACUUUGAGUGCAGAGUGGAAUGAGUGCAGCUGCCCUGCUGGAAGCCUCUGCUUCCCUAAGAAAUGAAACCCACAGAGGAGGGUGGAAGGCCGAAAGGUGAGUGGCCCAACCAGUGACUUCGGGUUUACAGAGGGAUCUUUUCACAACUGGAGAUUCCAGCCUGCGUAGCUCUGAAUCCCUGGUCUGAUACCCUUAGAUUGUUCUUUCUUGGCACUGCAUUGUGCGUGUGCGCGUGCACACACACACACACACAGUCCCCGUGAUCCUGGCCCAGGCACUUCAAAAUCUACCUCCUGCAGGAAGGCUCUGAUAAUUUCCACCCAACUUUGAUCAUUUUGUCAGCUUCCCUCUGAGCCUUAGGAGCUGCCUUCAAUCUCUUCUCUAUUCUGUUGCUUAGUUAUGUCCUGUAGUAUUUUCAACCCCAUAGAUUAUAAGCUCCUUCAUGGCAGUGAUAGAAUCUUUCAUUUGCUUAUUUAAUAAAAUCUACUUAUUUUGAGGAGGAAGCAUGAGGUAGGACACUCCAACUUUGGAGGCCAUGUAAACCUGGAUCUGGAUUCCAAUACUGGGCUGUUUGGCCUCGGGCAAGUCUCUCAACCUCUCUGAGCCAGUUUCUUCAUCUAUAAAAGUCGCUAGUGAUACUUUGCAGAACGAGGGGUAAAGACUACACAGAGACUACAAAGGGCCAAGAAAUUGCCCGUUGCAUAGUGAUCAGACCAUGGCUUGUCUUCCUUCCCUGUAUGGUUGGAGCCUUUCCUGUAUUGGGGGACAGAGUUCCUUAACUAACCAGUUCUCAUACUGGAACACUUUUAAGCGUGAAAAAGGAUACUAGUAAUCAUUACACCGGUUCCACAG